CUCCUAAAGAGUUUUUGUAGGUGACAAAUCUCAGCUACGCAUUAAAGCAAUCCUAAAUUCAAUGGCAAUCACUUGAUGUUGUAUAGGAAUAAAAAAAUGUUGGAGGAGUAUGGUAUUGGAGCCUGAAGGGGGUUGGAUGUUGAUUUUAUAUGCAAGCUAUGUUGUGCUUCCAAUUGGCUUCUUUAGUCUAAUUUGUAUACAUGUUAUGCUAGCACUAAUAAGAUAUUUUGUAACAGCUCUAUUUCCAAUGUUCCUGCUAAUUUAAGUUGCAGGAUGUUCUGAUAUUGUAUGUAAUAGUCGAAUGGAUUAAUGGAACUUAGUUCUACUGA